rnacentral:rRNA from 1 species
GACGAACGCUGGCGGCGUGCCUAAUACAUGCAAGUAGAGCGCUGAAGAGUGGUGCUUACUCCUCUUUGAAGAGUAGCGAACGGGUGAGUAACGCGUGGGUAAUCUGCCUUUUAGCGGGGGACAACUAUUGGAAACGAUAGCUAAUACCGCAUAAUAACUUUAAACAUAUGUUAUAUGUUUGAAAGAUGCAAUUGCAUCACUACAAGAUGAUCCCGCGUUGUAUUAGCUAGUUGGUGAGGUAAAGGCUCACCUAGGCGACGAUACAUAGCCGACCUGAGAGGGUGAUCGGCCACACUGGGACUGAGACACGGCCCAGACUCCUACGGGAGGCAGCAGUAGGGAAUCUUCGGCAAUGGACGAAAGUCUGACCGAGCAACGCCGCGUGAGUGAAGAAGGGUUUCGGAUCGUAAAGCUCUGUUGGUAGAGAAGAACGGGGGUGAGAGUGGAAAGUUCAUCAAGUGACGGUAACUAACCAGAAAGGGACGGCUAACUACGUG